rnacentral:rRNA from 1 species
UACGUAGGGUGCGAGCGUUAAUCGGAUUUACUGGGCGUAAAGCGUGCGCAGGCGGCCCGUUAAGACAGGUGUGAAAUCCCUGGGCUCAACCUAGGAAUUGCGCUUGUGACUGGCGGGCUCGAGUACGGUAGAGGGGAGUGGAAUUCCUGGUGUAGCAGUGAAAUGCGUAGAGAUCAGGAGGAACACCGAUGGCGAAGGCAGCCCCCUGGGCAUGUACUGACGCUCAUGCGCGAAAGCGUGGGGAGCAAACAGG